UCGGGCGUGGUGUAUGGAACACCCAUUUACGAUUCGAUGUUGAGACUGGGAGUCUGAAGUAUGUGGGAGACCUGGGUUCGAUUCCCGGCGCCUGAA